UACGGGGGGAGCAAACGUUGUUCGGAAUCGCUGGGCGUAAAGGGCGUGUAGGCGGCUGAAUAAGUGGGAUGUUAAAUCCCCCGGCUCAACCGGGGACCUGCAUCUCAUACUGUUCAGCUCGAGCACAUCAGAGGAGACUGGAAUUCCCUGUGUAGCGGUGAAAUGCGUAGAUAUCAGGAGGAACACCGGUGGCGAAGGCGGGUCUCUGGGCCGAGAUUGACGCUGAGGAGCGAAAGCGUGGGGAGCGAACAGG
rnacentral:rRNA from 1 species